AGAGUUUGAUCCUGGCUCAGAUUGAACGCUGGCGGCAUGCCUUACACAUGCAAGUCGAACGGCAGCGCGGGGGGUAACUCCUGGCGGCGAGUGGCGAACGGGUGAGCAAUAUAUCGGAACGUGCCCUGGAGUGGGGGAUAACUAGUCGAAAGAUUAGCUAAUACCGCAUACGAUCUACGGAUGAAAGUGGGGGAUUCGCAAGAACCUCAUGCUCGUGGAGCGGCCGAUAUCUGAUUAGCUAGUUGGUAGGGUAAAAGCCUACCAAGGCGACGAUCAGUAGCUGGUUUGAGAGAACGACCAGCCACACUGGGACUGAGACACGGCCCAGACUCCUACGGGAGGCAGCAGUGGGGAAUUUUGGACAAUGGGGGCAACCCUGAUCCAGCAAUGCCGCGUGUGUGAAGAAGGCCUUCGGGUUGUAAAGCACUUUUGUCAGGGAAGAAACGGUGAGGGC
rnacentral:rRNA from 1 species